rnacentral:rRNA from 1 species
CAACUUUCAACAACGGAUCUCUUGGCUCUUGCAUCGAUGAAGAACGCAGCGAAAUGCGAUAAGUAAUGUGAAUUGCAGAAUUCCGUGAAUCAUCAAAUCUUUGAACGCAAAUUGCACUCUUUGGUAUUCCGAAGAGUAUGCUUGUUUGAGGGGUUGUU